UGGCUCAGUUGGUAGAGCAUAGUGUUUGCAACGCCAGGGAUGUGGGUUUGAUUCCCAU
rfam:Salmo salar isolate Sally breed double haploid chromosome ssa13, whole genome shotgun sequence.